rnacentral:rRNA from 1 species
AUUGAACGCUGGCGGCAUGCCUUACACAUGCAAGUCGAACGGCAGCACAGGGAGCUUGCUCCUGGGUGGCGAGUGGCGAACGGGUGAGUAAUGUAUCGGAACGUGCCCAGUAGUGGGGGAUAACUACUCGAAAGAGUGGCUAAUACCGCAUGAGAUCUCUGGAUGAAAGUGGGGGACCGCAAGGCCUCACGCUACUGGAGCGGCCGAUAUCAGAUUAGGUUGUUGGUGGGGUAAAGGCCUACCAAGCCUGCGAUCUGUAGCUGGUCUGAUAGGACGACCAGCCACACUGGGACUGAGACACGGCCCAGACUCCUACGGGAGGCAGCAGUGGGGAAUUUUGGACAAUGGGCGCAAGCCUGAUCCAGCAAUGCCGCGUGCAGGAUGAAGGCCUUCGGGUUGUAAACUGCUUUUGUACGGAACGAAAAGGCUCUGGUUAAUACCUGGGGUCCAUGACGGUACCGUAAGAAUAAGCACCGGCUAACUACGUGCCAGCCGCCGCGGUAACAC